rnacentral:rRNA from 1 species
CCCUUAGAUGUUCGGGGCCGCACGCGCGCUACACUGAAGGAAUCAGCACGUCUUUCUCCUUAUCCGAAAGGACUGGGUAACCCGCUGAACCUCCUUCGUGCUAGGGAUUGGGGCUUGUAAUUCUUCCCCAUGAACGAGGAAUUCCCAGUAAGCGCGAGUCAUAAGCUCGCGUUGAUUACGUCCCUGCCCUUUGUACACACCGCCCGUCGCUACUACCGAUUGGAUGGUUUAGUGAGAUCCUCGGAUUGGUCCCGGAGCGGCCUCUGGUCGUGCCGGAGUGCCGAAAAGAAUGUCGAACUUGAUCAUCUAGAGGAAGUAAAAGUCGUAACA